rnacentral:rRNA from 1 species
GAGGGUGAGCUCAAUUUUGAAUCUGGCGGUCUUUAUGGCCGUCCGAGUUGUAAUCUAGAGAAGCGUUUUCCGCGCUGGCCCGUGUACAAGUCUCCUGGAAAGGAGCGUCCUAGAGGGUGAGAAUCCCGUCUUUGACACGGUCCACCAGUGCUAUGUGAUGCGCUCUCGACGAGUCGAGUUGUUUGGGAAUGCAGCUCAAAACGGGUGGUAAAUUCCAUCUAAAGCUAAAUACAGGCGAGAGACCGAUAGCGAACAAGUACCGUGAGGGAAAGAUGAAAAGAACUUUGGAAAGAGAGUUAAACCGUACGUGAAAUUGCUGAAAGGGAAACGCUUGAUGUCAGUCGCGUCGGCCGGGGAUCAACCUUGCUUCACUGCUCGGCGUAAUUCCUGGUCGACGGGUCAGCAUCGGUUUCGGUCGCCGUACAAGGGCGAGGGGAACGUGGCACUCUUCGGAGUGUGUUAUAGCCCUUCGUCGUAUGCGGUGGUCGGGACCGAGGAACUCAGCACGGCUUCGGUCGGUGCUUUAGGAUGCUGGCAUAAUGGCCUUAACGACCGCU